GGUGAAAAGCACCCCGGAAGGGGAGUGAAAUAGAACCUGAAACCGUGUGCUUACAAGUAGUCAGAGCCCGUUAAUGGGUGAUGGCGUGCCUUUUGUAGAAUGAACCGGCGAGUUACGAUUUGAUGCAAGGUUAAGCAGUAAAUGUGGAGCCGUAGCGAAAGCGAGUCUGAAUAGGGCGUUUAGUAUUUGGUCGUAGACCCGAAACCAGGUGAUCUACCCUUGGUCAGGUUGAAGUUCAGGUAACACUGAAUGGAGGACCGAACCGACUUACGUUGAAAAGUGAGCGGAUGAACUGAGGGUAGCGGAGAAAUUCCAAUCGAACCUGGAGAUAGCUGGUUCUCUCCGAAAUAGCUUUAGGGCUAGCCUCAAGUGAUGAUUAUUGGAGGUAGAGCACUGUUUGGACGAGGGGCCCCUCUCGGGUUACCGAAUUCAGACAAACUCCGAAUGCCAAUUAAUUUAACUUGGGAGUCAGAACAUGGGUGAUAAGGUCCGUGUUCGAAAGGGAAACAGCCCAGACCACCAGCUAAGGUCCCAAAAUAUAUGUUAAGUGGAAAAGGAUGUGGCGUUGCCCAGACAACUAGGAUGUUGGCUUAGAAGCAGCCAUCAUUUAAAGAGUGCGUAAUAGCUCACUAGUCGAGUGACACUGCGCCGAAAAUGUACCGGGGCUAAACAUAUUACCGA
rnacentral:rRNA from 1 species